AACGUAGGACGCGAGCGUUAUCCGGAGUUACUGGGCGUAAAGCGCGUGCAGGCGGUCUGACAAGUCUGAUGUGAAAUCUCCGGGCUUAACCGGGAGAGGCCAUUGGAAACUGACAGGCUGGAGGGCAGUAGAGGUAGGCGGAAUUCCGGGUGGAGUGGUGAAAUGCGUAGAGAUCCGGAGGAACACCAGAGGCGAAGGCGGCCUACUGGGCUGCACCUGACGCUGAGCCGCGAAAGCCAGGGGAGCGAACGGG
rnacentral:rRNA from 1 species